UAUGUAGGGCGCAAGCGUUGUCCGGAAUUAUUGGGCGUAAAGAGCUCGUAGGUGGUUUGUUACGUCUGCUGUGAAAACCUAGGGCUUAACCCUGGGCCUGCAGUGGAUACGGGCAGACUAGAGGUAGGUAGGGGAGAAUGGAAUUCCCGGUGUAGCGGUGAAAUGCGCAGAUAUCGGGAGGAACACCGGUGGCGAAGGCGGUUCUCUGGGCCUUACCUGACACUGAGGAGCGAAAGCGUGGGGAGCGAACAGG
rnacentral:rRNA from 1 species